rnacentral:lncRNA from 1 species
UUGGGGUGACACAGCUGUCAGCCUGGAGGUGCAAUUGACUCUAAUAAGCCUGAUUCUUGUUGCAUUUUGGAUAAAGAGAAGGGCCUUGCUGAGGUCAUUUGCAUUUGCUAUGGCCUCCACUCUUGCUCCUCCGGAUGACCUCCACAUUGCUGGCUUCUUGUUGGAUAUAAAGAAGAUGACAAUUAGCGUGUGGGGAGUCCCCAAGACAUUUUGAUGUUAAACGUGGGUCCUUCUUCUUGACAAGGGAUACACACCUACCUACCGAGAGACCUCCAAACAGAGACAUCAACACAGAAACCUCCGCAGAGAUAACCAGAUCUCCAUAUGCAAACCCAUGUAAAAAGAAACCUAGAGAAACAGAUGCCCAGAUGAAGAGGGGUUUCCAGACAGAUUCUUGGCUGACGUUUCUGUCAGUGGUGUGAAAGGACAUUUACCCAGAUUCUAUAGAUAUUUUGGUUAUGCACUCAACAAACCUACAAUGAAACUACCAGAAUACAAAAGCAAUUGUGAACUCCAGAGAGUGCUAGAAAACAUUAUGGAAGAGGGUAUAGUUUAUGUUAAUUAUAGAGGACUAAAGAGAUGUAGAAUAGGAGAGCUGAAAAAGCCUCCACUUCCAGUGGCUCUUAGAGUGUAAUUAGUCCAAGGGACAGCAAGCUGCCUUCUAGCAGAAUCGUUGUGAUCCCAAAGCCCACAUGACUGGGGCCUCUCUCUGGUCCUUUAUACAGUAAUUAAUAUUUAAAAGAUCUCGCUAAAGCCCUGUCAAGUCCUGAAGCAAGAUUUUGAAAAAUAAAAAAACUCAUAAAACACAAAAUAGAACAAAACAAUGAGCUCUGAGUUUGCUUUGUUGAAAGCAAUGGGUUGAAUUGUGUCUCCCCAUAAUAUGUAUUUUGAAGUCCUAACCUCUAGUACCUUAGGGUGUGACCUUAUUUGGAGAUGCAGACAUUACAGAAGUAAUCAAGUUAAAGUGAGGUCAUUGGGAUGGGCCCUAAUCUGAUACAACUGGUAAUUUGGACACAGACACAUUCAGGCAGAACACCAUGUGAACAUAAAGAUGGUCAGGUACAAGCCAAAGGGGAGAGGCCUGGAACAGAUCCUUCCUUCACAGGCCUCAGAAGGAACCAACCCUGCCAACAUCUUGAUCUUGGACUUCUGGCCUCCAGACCUGUGAGACAACAAAUUUGUGAUCUUUUGUUAUGACAAUCCUAGCAAAAUACACUGUGACACCCAGUUUCUAAUCUGAUGACAAACGGAGGCAUCUACAAUCUCUGAGGGUGUGUGCAUUUGGGCACUCAUUUCACCACUGACUUCAUUUAUGUCCUAUUCUUUGUUUUCCAUUUGUUUCAUUUUUCUAAUUUUAUCUUCCAUUUUUAAAAAAGUUUACUGUACUAGACGUAACUUUUUAAGCUGCCUGAAAUUCUUCUUAGGUUUACAAAUGAUAUAAACUGGUAAAUAAAGAUGAUCAGACCUUAAGCACAUAUAGCACACAUGGCUGGGAUGAAACAACUAAGUAGCAAAAUAUUAAUUUAUAAAACAAAUUAAACAGCAAAAAAAGAAAAUAGUAAAAUCCAACUCUCCUGGACCAUUGGAGGAGGAACUGCAAGGGAUGAUGAAGAUUUCAUAGAGCAAAUGAUUUCUACACUCUGGGAAAGAAUUCUUCAGGCAGUACACCACUUUAAAAUGGUGCUUGACUCACCAAAACAUCAGAGCCGUCUUCAACUUUUCACAACGCAGAGCAGAGAAAGAGGAAGAUCACUUGUAGAUGGAGUGUGGCAGGAAUUUUGUGAAGUGUAUAAAGAAGUUAGCAAGUGUAUAAAGAAGAUAGCCAUUUACUAAGCAUCUGCUAUGUAGCAGGCACUCUGCUAGACAUUUGUUAUGGAAUGAAUCAUUUAAUCCUUGUAAUAAACUUGCAAGGAUAUAUUUUAGCCCACCCCCUACCUAAAACCAAUAAAUAUGUGGCUCAGAAAAGUAAAUUAACUGGUCUAAGAGCAAGUAAUUAGUAAAAAGUUGAGCUGGGAUUUGAUAUAAAGAAAAAUCUGAUCUAAACUUGAUAAUAUUUCUGCUUCCCCAAAUUGCCUCCUUAAAGUUUACACAUUGUUUGGUCUCUUCAAUACACAUCAAAAUUAUCAAUACCUAUAGAAAUGUCAAUGAAAAGUCUUCCUUUAAAUUAGAAUAUUUAGAAACUUUAGGCCCAGAGACUAAAAAGUAUGUGAAAUUAGUAUAAAAGUAUGUAAAAUGUUUGUAAAGAAAUGAUGAUAACUUCGUAGACCAAUGUGGCAUGUAAAACAUGUGGGCCACAGAGGGAGAUUAAGAAAAAAAUAUAUGCAAUCAUAAUAAUAAAAGUGGAGUUACUCCAGACUAUGCUUUUUGCCAAUUCUUUGGUGAGAAGGGAUUGGUAGUUAAUUAUAGAACCACUUUCUAUAUUAAUUCUAGAUAUUGUAUUCUAAUCCUUAGAAAGUAGGCUGUGGAAGAACUAAUAAUUGCCCUCAAGGACCCAUUCUCUUCUUCUCAUAAGAGAAUCUAUGGUUGCCCAACUAAAGCUUCUAUUUCGCAGCACUCAUUGCAGAUAGUUAUAGCUAUGGACUCAGUUCUGGCCAGUGGACUCUGAAUAAAGGUACUAUGUACACUGUUGGCUGUGCUCUUAAAGCUAAGGGAUGUGCCAUCUCAUCCCCUGUGCUCUCUUUGUUGGCUGGGAAGCUGGCAGGAUGAUAGGAGUUAAGCCAGCCAUUAUGGACUUUCAGAUGGAAACCAGCUGUUGAGGAUGAGAGAGCGACAAAAAGAAGACCGUCAAGAUUGUGGGGCUAAUUUACCAGCCUGAAUUGCCAACCUGUGUUUUUGUAUUACAGGCAAAUAAAGUAUGUGUUUUUAAAGUCGC